GCACUGCUGAAGAGUCCCAAAGAGGACGGAACAGCUGUUCAGUGU
rfam:Echinostoma caproni strain Egypt genome assembly, scaffold: ECPE_scaffold0003401